CGGAGCCUGAGGCGCCUGGCGCGGGGCUUGCAAGGAGGCGGCUGGAGCCAUGGCGGAAGCGGCGGCGGAGAAAGCUUACUACAGGUUCCUGGUACUUUUCUUCAAUUGCCUUCUGACCUUUGGCUCUUACUUCUGCUUCGAUAUCCCCAGUGUCUUGCAAGAACAGUUUCAAGGGAACCUGACCUGUCUGAAUGGAACACAUCCCAAUGGCACAGAACAUAAUGGAACAGCCGGAUGUGUGGAAGGCCUGGGGAUGACUCCUGAAGAAUACAACCUUCUGUACGCCAUCUAUGCCUGGACGAACGCCGUGGUGGUGAUCAUGGCAGGCUUCUUGAUUGACAAACUGGGAAAUUGCUUUGGCGUCUUCGUUUUCUCUUUCCUGACCGUGCUGGGGUCAUCUAUUUUUGCUUUGGGCGCUCACUUUAAAGGAACUCCAUACCUUUUGCCAUUGAUGCUGACGGGCAGGUUGCUUUUCGGCUCUGGAAACGGGUCACUCACCAUUGUGCAGAAUCGCAUUACCGCCUUCUGGUUCAAGGGGAAGGAGCUGGCUUUGGCCUUCGGACUGACCCUCUCUUUCUCCCGCCUUGGAAGUGUCCUCAACUUCUUUUUCACCCAGCAGUUUGAAAGCCACUUUGGGAUUCAGUGGACUCUCUGGGGAGGAACCUUUCUCUGCGUGUUGGGCUUUCUUUCGGCUAUCACAGUCAGUAUACUGGACAGAGUUGGCAUGAAGCAGCUUGGCUUGGACGGAGUUAUCCAGCAAGAGUCCAAGAAAGUGCGGGUUCAAGAUGUCAGGCAUUUGCCCCUUCGCUACUGGCUUCUGGUCCUCACCAUCAUGUUCUUCUACAAUGGAGUCUUCCCCUUUGUAGCAGAUGCCAGCAAGUUUAUCCAAGAUAAGUAUCCUGGCUACAGCCAACAGGCAGCCUCUUACGUUGCUGGUGCAGUGUAUGAUAGCUCCCUCGUUCUCUCUGCAGCGGUGGGCAUACUUAUUGACUACGUUGGCCUGAGAGGUGUGUUUGCUCUGGGCUGUGCAGUUCUGACUCUGCCAGUCUUUGCAUUCCUGGCCUUCACCUUUAUUCCCCCGCUUGUCUCCACCGUAUGGCUGGGUAUCACCUAUUCCUUUGCAGCAGCUAGCAUGUGGCCCUCCAUUCCACUCGUGGUCCCCCAGGCGACCUUGGGAACAGCCAUGGGGCUGGCAACGUCCAUACAGAUGAUUGGAAUCGGCCUCUCCAACGUGAUCGUUGGACGGAUCCUGGGAACAAAGUCCAGUGGAUCACAGAUCCCACUAUGGCGCUGGCAACAGAUGAUGAUCUUCAUGUUGGCCAACACAGUCGCUUGUAUCGUCACCUCUGUCAGCCUCAACAUAGUAGACAAGAAGCGGGGAGGAACGUUAAACCGUAUGACAAAGCGUUCGAUGCCAGAGUCGCCGGCCAGGCAGCCUGGGGAUUCAGCCCCACUCCUCAAUGAGGGAGAAGAUGAAGGAUCCAUCAACUAGGAACACAGACAAAGCACCAGUAGACCAUCACCUUCUAAACCAAUGCCUCUGGAUUUCUCUACCGCCCUACCACUUCCCGAUAUUUUAUGAGGGAAUCUCAGCAAAACAGAAAUCAUAUGACUGCCAGCUACCAGGCCAGAGGUACUAUGAUAGCAGAAAAGAAAAAAACAAGAAAACACCAAAUAUACCAAGAUGAAAGAAAACAGUCCCCUGCCCUUUUCCAAUAAAUAACACACCAGUGCAAAGCAAAAGGUAUCAUAUAGCCAGAAACCUACUUAGAUUGACCUCGGCAGCAAGCCCUAUUACCACCCUUCUGGUAUGCAAAGAAAACCUACCAGAAAAGAGUCAGCCUGAAGUGGGGAGGAUCGCCAAAGUCAUCUUUUCCCCUGCUGUGAGGCUAGCAAACAAUCCCUCCUUUCUUUUGACUUGGAGGUGUGGUGGGAAUUGCAGUCUGACAGUGUGCUAAAGUCCAUUGACGAGGCCCAAAACUCAUGUAGCUUGGUGCUGUUACUUUAUACUAGACAAGAAAGCAUGCAGGGACACCUUGGGGUAAAAAGCUAACAUCUCUCCUCUCCUGUAUCCUCUGCACAGGAAGCAAGACAUACAUGCACGCUCCCCUCCCCCAGUUCUGUGCAAUGCACAGACUUGGGGAAGUGAAAUCUUGACUUCUGUUUGUUCACAAAUGCCCUUUCUGGCAAGAGAUUCUUCCUUAUCUGCCGUGGCCUAGCAACAGCAUUUGAGGGGCCUUAUCUGUAAUUCUAUGUACUUGUGGUCCUGAACAGUGUGUUCCUCAAGAAGGUAAGACCAUUAAUUCCCCUUCAUCAGUAUCACACACAUGUACAUCUGUUUAUGAACUGGAAUGCUACUUACCAUAUGGGAACAUACUGCACA